rnacentral:rRNA from 1 species
GACGAACGCUGGCGGCGUGCUUAACACAUGCAAGUCGAACGGUGAAGCUCCAGCUUGCUGGUGUGGAUCAGUGGCGAACGGGUGAGUAACACGUGAGCAACCUGCCCCUGACUCUGGAAUAAGCGCUGGAAACGGCGUCUAAUACUGGAUACGAGAAGGGUCCGCAUGGGCACUUUCUGGAAAGUUUUUCGGUUGGGGAUGGGCUCGCGGCCUAUCAGCUUGUUGGUGAGGUAAUGGCUCACCAAGGCGACGACGGGUAGCCGGCCUGAGAGGGCGACCGGCCACCCUGGGACUGAGACACGGCCCAGUCGCCUACGGGAGGCAGCAGUGGGGAAUAUUGCACAAUGGGCGAGAGCCUGAUGCAGCGACGCCGCGUGUGGGAUGACGGCCUUCGGGUUGUAAACCUCUUUCAGCAGGGAAGAAGCGAAAGUGACGGUACCUGCAGAAGAAGCACCGGCUAACUACGUG